rnacentral:rRNA from 1 species
AUGAGUUCUUCCAUCUCUGAUAGAAUACUAUUGGCUAAUGUUAAUUGUGAUGUUUACGGGGUGAAUUACUUCCUGGGGAUCGGCUUGUCUAAGGAAGAUGUCUGCUCAAUGAUCUCUUGGUUCUCCCCACUUCUGGGUUACACUUUAUGCUUCCAUCUGGAUAUGGGGAGGCUGUUCUACACAUGGGAAGCCACUUCUCCAGUGUUCAGCAUUCAGAAGGCCAUAAUUCCCACAGGUGUACGUGUCAAGCAACCUAGUGCCUCUCAUGGAGCCAAAGCCUCUUGCAGGACAAGCUUCGGACCUUGUCCAUCUGGAUAUGCCCGUCGAGACCAGAUUGAGGAACUGAAGCCAACCCUUGCAUCCACCCACUGCGUCAGCAGCUCUUGCAAAACAUACCCUUGGGUUGGCCCCGAUUUUCUCCAACUGGACCUGGAAAUCUCUAAAUGCACCUCAAAGAACUCCUGCUUAAUGAUCGGCACAACACAAAAGAAAACCACUUUGGUCUCUCUGUAA